AUCUGGGCGACGGAAUUCAGGAUGGCUGGCGCGUCUUCGCGGCGCGUCGGUCGUUUGAUAUUUCCGUCGCCACAUCCGCAGACGUCGCGACCUGUUCGCGGUCGGUCGAGGAGCCGUGUUCGAGUUCGUUGUGUGCGCGUUUCGGCGUGCUACGCGGCGAAGACGCGGAUCUCUGGCUGGCCGUCGGACAGUAUGCUCAACGGUGUCCGGUGUCGUCAUUGCGCGUGCACCGGUACCGGUCAGCGACGAAUUCUUCGGGCCUCUUUCCGACCCGUCUUGAAACACGGACCAAGGAGUCUAACAUGCGCGCGAGUCGCGGGGUGUCGAGCGUACUUCGGUACGUUCGUUACGUUGCGAAACCCGUACAUGUCGAAGGCGUAAUGAAAGUGAAUGGGGAAGAUGGUGUUCCGAGUACACGUUCCGCGAUCGUCGGUAUCGCGGCCGGACACCCGCAUUCCCGGGGCGUCUCAACGGCCCGUCGCUGACGCGGACCGUCGUCUUUCGGGGCGGCUGUCGGUCGGCGAUGAACCGA
rnacentral:rRNA from 1 species